UUACCGCUAGCGGAACCUAGCUGUGGGCAUAGGAAAAUUAUAAAUGUAUUUGCACGGAGAAGUCCACCGCACAACGACAACGCAAAGGAUCAACCUCCGUCGAAUUGGCGCCGUUGCCGGGGAGUUGGAUUUUUUAGUCUUUUUCUCUCGAUUUUUUUUUCAUUAUUUUUGUUCUAGUCUAACUUGGGCAAGUUAAGACAUGAGGAGAUUACAACCAUUGGAAGUGCAAGUCCCGACAUGGUCCCAUUUUUCGUGCUCUUUUUGUGUGUCUUUUAGGUCUAGAUCGAGUCUAGUUUUUGUUUGUUUUGUGUCUUGUGUAUUUGGGAGGACACAUUUCG
rnacentral:lncRNA from 1 species